rnacentral:misc_RNA from 1 species
AAGUCGUAACAAGGUUUCCGUAGGUGAACCUGCGGAAGGAUCAUUAACACGUCUAACAACGUUUUCAUGAUAACCCCUCUGUGAACUAUUUUCCGGCGCAAGUCGGUUAAAACCAAAUCCUAGUGUGUGAGCGUUCACGCGCUUUGCGCUCUAGGUCGCUGUAAAAGGCUGUGCUCGCACGGCUGCUUUCCUUUUACCGGGAGAGAACAGCGUUAACCCAACCAAACCCUUGAACCUAACUGCUCUGAACACCCUAACAAUGGUUGUGAGUCCCUUUUUUUGGGACAAGCGCCGGAGUUAACAAAAAUAAAAAACAACUCUUAACAACGGAUAUCUUGGUUCUC